GCCCGCUUGGCACAGCGGUAAUGCGCCUCACUAGUAUAAGUACGAUUCUUCAAGACCGUAUUCUACUGGGGAAGCUAUGAGGAGAUGACUGGUUCGACUCCAGUAGUGGGCA